rnacentral:rRNA from 1 species
AUUGAACGCUGGCGGCAUGCCUUACACAUGCAAGUCGAACGGUAACGGGCCUUCGGGUGCCGACGAGUGGCGAACGGGUGAGUAAUACAUCGGAACGUGCCCGAUCGUGGGGGAUAACGAGGCGAAAGCUUUGCUAAUACCGCAUACGAUCUACGGAUGAAAGCAGGGGACCGCAAGGCCUUGCGCGGACGGAGCGGCCGAUGGCAGAUUAGGUAGUUGGUGGGAUAAAAGCUUACCAAGCCGACGAUCUGUAGCUGGUCUGAGAGGAUUAUCAGCCACACUGGGACUGAGACACGGCCCAGACUCCUACGGGAGGCAGCAGUGGGGAAUUUUGGACAAUGGGCGCAAGCCUGAUCCAGCCAUGCCGCGUGCAGGAUGAAGGCCUUCGGGUUGUAAACUGCUUUUGUACGGAACGAAAAGCCUUCUUUUAAUACAGGAGGGUCAUGACGGUACCGUAAGAAUAAGCACCGGCUAACUACGUG